rnacentral:lncRNA from 1 species
UUUUUUUUUGUUUUUUUUUUGGAACCAGCUCCCCCAGUAAAACCCAUUCAUUACCAAUGACCAAUCACGGUUUGCCCUCGACGUCCGCGGCAGUAGCGGAGUGAUUGCCUGCCUAAUUCCCGGACUCUGCAGUGUGCAGACCCGGUCGCUCGACGGAGAGAGAGCGGAUGCGUAUGGUCAAGUAUGGACGGGGGAACGCGACAGAUCGGUUUGGUCUAGAGCAAACAAAACCGCUGAUCCUUUCGUGCACCAACCGGUCGCGCUGGUUGGCGACACGGGAGUUGGUUUCUCACACGCCAUUAGGAGGAAGUCAGCGAGAUGGUUCCUUGCUCCUGCCCCUAACAACGGCAGUUCAUGCUUAAUGCCAGCACAAGGAACUACUGAUAAGCAAUAGGAGUAUGAUUUUCAAGUAAGUAUGUAAUGACUUUACUUAUGUCUAAAGUGACAGUUUUUAAGAACCCAGAAAGGAUAAGCAGGUGGAAUCGGUAAAAGACACGACGAGCGGAACGGUCUAGGCUGUACAUCACGUGACUGAUUGGCACUGGGCAGCAGAAAAAGGGAUGAAGCCACGUCGGCAAAGGGCGGGUGGCAUAUUCUGAUCGCGCACCGUUUGGGAGGAAUCGUUUAGAUGCGAUGCAGCUUUGCUGCUAAACCGAUCCACCAAAACCAAGAGACUAGAGCGAGGUGAGAAACUAUGCUUGAACCGUACGUGACUACGUUCUGUGUGACUGUGCGUUCUACCGGGAAUGAAAAGUGUGAUGAUGGCUAAAAUCGUACGCCAAUGAGACUUCACUCAAAGUUGUUCGGCCCAUGUGUACCAGUGUGUGCAACCGAGUCAUUGACCAGAUGACCAGGUGUUGCUGAUCCCAACUCCCUUUCUCCAUCUAACGAAACUAGUAGGAGUACACUCCUUUCUCCACAGGAUUCCUUUUGUUCGAUCGAAUGCCAGUUCCUAUUGUCUCCUGACAUAUUUAACCAUGAAUUACACGUCACCGGUGCAGACACGAGCGCCAAGCAUACAGCCAUCAAGAGAUUGCCAGUUCAGUAGUUGUUGCCUAUUCUUUGACCACAUUGACAGAGAGAAAACAAGAAUCAUAUGGCCAAGAGCACAUGCUAGAUCUAGGAAGCCCAGUUGUAAAAUGGUACUAGAGGAGCACAUGCCCGGGCGGCUGGAAUGUUUCGCCCAGCGCAGAACAAUGCCUGCACAGGAUGAUACUAUUCGCCUAAAUAUCAUCUCCACCGAUACCUGUCAUGCUCGUAGUGGACUAGUACUGCGGAGUAUUAAUACAGUCAACUGCUCAGUUAUCACCCAAUGAGGUCACUCUUCAUUGACGAGGCGUGCCUGUUUUCUUUGUUCAAACUUCAUUGACAUACCAAUCAGCCAAUCUGUCAGCCAUCAUGGAAACCAAGAAAGACUCUGCAAGGCAGAAAGCUCAGUAAGACUCGCGGGCAGUUUCCCAUCGAGGCGUAGUGUCGAUUUGUAACAAGAUAACCGUUUGUGGUGUCUUUCUAUCACAGAUGGGCCUAAAAUUCCGUUUGUGAUUUGUUAUCCGAGAAAAUUGGUUUGUGAUGUCCUCUUUACCACGGCCAGUGGGUUAAAAACAUCCCUUCAAUGACUUACCAUAGAAAGCUCAUCAAUGACGGAACAUCAAUGGUUUGUGAUGUUAUCUGAAGACAGUUAUCACGUUAUACAGUUUUGAUGUUCCGUCAUUGAUGAGCUUUCUAUGGUAAGUGUGUGUUUACCACCUCAUAGAAGUUUUCAGGUUUUUGAUAGGUUGUAUGCCUGGUUUGGGCCAUGCUCACUCAACACGAAAAGGCCUCUCUCAGCCAAGCUUGGUAAGGAGCAACAAUUAACAACGGAGCGAAUUGCUCAGGUGUUAAUACUACAACAAAUAGCUUACAAGCCUGUUAGGCACCACAAUGACUGAACGGUUUGACCAGUCCCUAAAGGCAAAAAAAAAGAAAAAGAAAACAACUCCUCCGCAUAUAUCCAACACCUACAAGCAUUCAACACUUUGUUGAGCUCUAUCUGUAUCUGAACAUGACUAGUUUGCUCUCAUAUAACUGGAUGUAAAAGAAGGUUAAGCUUACAGAACACAAGCUACAGGAUACAUGAUAUCCCCAUGUCCCAUGGGACCAUUGAGUAGAAAGCAAAAACCACACUAUGCAGCUUGUCGAUCUGAUGUAGCACAAGUUGACUUGGUGUUGCUGACUUUUCAACUGGCUGCAGGAUUACCCGCCCAUAAUGAUUCAUCCUUUCUAAUCCUGGGUUUCAGACAUUUCAAAUUUAGUAUCCUUUGCAAAACACUAUCAACGGAGUACUUAAUAUGGGAAACUAACGGGCAUUCCAGUACAACUUUGCAUGAUCUCAGUUCUCAAGUUGCAGUUGCAGCAAACCUUUUUUUUUGUCUUAGCAGAUGACAAACCAUAAGCUGCGUUAUUCAGUUUUUGUUUCUCAAUAGCUACUCGACUAUCAUGAAGGUCACCAGAUUACUUUCUUGUUUAAAAGAAGUAAUUUCUGAAUUCUUUGCUAAUACCCCAGAAAGCCUGCACUAAAAAUGCCACUACAACUUUGAAUGCUCUCAAGUUACCACUAACUUUUUUGGUCUAGCUAUAAAGUCUGUCUCUUAGCUUUUGUUUCUUAAUAGCUACACUAUCAUAAAGGUCACUAGAUUACUUGUUUCAGAGAAGUAAUUCCUGAAUUCUUCAAACCCAGAAAGCCUGCAUUCAAAAUGCAAUGUGCUGUCUCUUCCCUCUUUUAAGUGCAAGUCUUCUCUUGAACUUUAUGGGAAGAUCUAUAUAAAUCCUCAGACCUUUUCUGCUAAUCUACCAAUGAUAUUAUCCAACACUGCCUCCAAUGUCCAGUCCCAACAGCAAAAGUGCAUGAAGUUAUGCCAAUGGGAAAAAUCAUCCAAGUUGAUACGCAUAAGACCAUAUGCUUGUUUAAUCAAAUUUUACACUCGCAUAGGGCAAAUCAAAUUUCAGAACUCCAUUCUCCAGUUCCUCUCUAAUUUCAUUUAUGAAAAGAAAAUUUUCCUAUUUAACAAGAUCUUAUUUGGGAAUUUUGAAGAAGUUCCGGCACAGCCAAACGUAAAGAUUCAAAGACCAUGCGAUUGCGGUAUAUUUUUUUUCUUUCCCAAAUCACCUUAUUUUCACUUUGUCGAGCUCCACAAUGCAGUUCAGUAUUCUAGUUCUACACUUCUACACAACCUGAACAAGCCCAGGGGCAUACCAGCUGUCAAAUUCCUACAUUUUAUGAGUCAGUCGGCCUAAACCCUACCCAGAUUGGCCCUGCAGUCUGCAGAGUUGCAUGUUUCUGAUUUUUUUACACCAAGAAAAGCUGUACUUUCCUUGUACUGUUAUACAAACCAUAGCUACCAAAAGAUUGGUGUUUAUUUAUGUUCAAAGAAAAAGGCACACAUAUAUAAUGAUCACUCACUAGGAUCUGAUUUGCAGUAGGUAUUUGCUAUUCAGGCUUCGCUCACAUCUGUAGGAUAGCUCCCCAGGACUCUUAAAAAGGUUGCAAACUCCUGUAAAAAAGCAACAUGAGUCACUGUUCGCUUGACACCGGAUCAAACAACCAAGAAAGAUCACCUUCAAAUUUCCAAGAGCAUUCUGAGUUUUUGGAUCGGCCAUCGAUGCGUCGAGGUCAACAUAAAAUAGGUAGUCGAAGUACCUGGUUCAGCCAAUGAUCAGAUGGGCUAAGAACUGGAUGUUCACAUGUUUUUUAGGACUGCAUGAAACAAAGUUGAACUAUGGAGGUCAUAGGGUUGUUAUCUAACUUGAUGGGUGUGGAGAAGGUAUCAUCAGCUAUACGGAAAGGCCUUUUCUUGUGCGGGCGGCUUUCUAUCUGCACGUCCAUUUAAAAGGUAAGACACACUGCUAGUGAAUUAUUUGUGCAAAAACAAACAAGUGACAAAGCAAAGCUGUUUAAUAUACCUUGGUGAGAUUGAUUUCCCUCAGUGCAAAAACUGCAAGUGCCUUGAAGAGCUGCCCAGGUCCUUCUUCAAGUGAAAACACUAUGCUAGUCUGAAAAUCAAAUGGUCAUACGGCAAAUCAAUUGGACUUGUUCCCCCCUUGGGAACUGGAGGGAAGAUGAAAGAGAGUUCCGAAUGUAAUUUUGUACCUUGAAUGGUUUAUCAGUACGAGGUAUAAUAGGUUCUCGAGCAAGCAUCAUAAAACGGGUGACAUUGACUUUUUCGUCCUAAGGAAAGAGGUGGACCAAUGUUGAGGAUAAAGAACACCACAAUAUCCCGAUUUAGCAUGAAAUCAGAUACCUGAAUAUUUUCAGCAAGAAUAUCCAGUCCAUAAAGUUCAGCAGCUAAUGAACUGGCAAUAGCACCGGUAUCUUGGAGCAUUUGUUCUGCGACAAACUAUGAAAGAAGCACAUGAUUAAUCACAAAAAAAUGACUUGAUGAGUUACUUGAAAUCGAUCUUUUAUAAAAUUGACAUAGAAUUGCUCAAAAAGAUUGAACGAAAUAUAUAUCCAUUAAAUGAUGUAUUCCAGGGAGAAGUAUCAUUCUACCUUUGCUGCACCAGCAGUGUCAUCAACAGCUUGUCUAUGUUCAAUUCCCAACUCUGUCAAUGUAUGCUCACAUUGCGCAAGAGCCUAAGAAUUAAAAAUGUGCUCACAUGGUUAUUAACUUAUUACACGCAAAUUUGGAAAUAUUAAGACCACAUUAUCCAAGAGGUUUACCUGGGGAUGACUCAUGGCACUGCUUAGGUUUCCAAUCUUCACGCCACGAUUGGCUAACAAGCAAUGCCGAACUGCAAGGCGAACCUCUCCAACUAUGUGCAACCCAUGCCGAAGUAAAAGGUCAUAGUUCCGAUGUAUGCUACCACCCAAUGUAUUCUCAAGUGGCAGCACAGCCCUAUCAACUAUCCAGUUUUCAACAGCCUGAUAAAGGACCAGAAGACAUCAAAACUUUGUCAUGUUUAUUUGCUUGUGUGUUACAAAGUACAAACACCAUUCCUAGGAGGAAGUAUUUGAGGAAGAAAACUAUCUUUAAUGUGACAUUCAGAAUCGGGGGUUCUCAUUUUUGGACUUUGUUAAGCUUCUGUACAAGGGUUUUUGGUAAUGGUAGGAGAACAAGGUUUUUGGAAGAUGAGUGUGUUGGUGGAAAACCUGUUGCCAAUCAGUUUCCUAUGCUGUACGGCCUUGAGCCAGGACAUCUCUGUGGCCAAGAUAAUGCAGGAAAGCCCGGGGGCUCUAAGAUUUAGGAGAAUCUUCGUAGGGGAAACUCUUGACAGUGGAAUUUGUUGAAAUGGUAUGUCAGGAUGUCAAACUGCCUGGCAUGAAAGAUAAACUGUUUUGGAAGUUAGAUGGAAAAGGUUUUUUUUUUCAGUUAGCUCGAAGCUUAGAGCUUUCAACAUGCAGCAACUCCCGUAUCAGUUCAAACUUUGGCGUGUUAAGCUUCCCCUUGAAAUUAAAAAUUUCCUUUGGUUUGUUCAUAGACAUAGCAUUCUGACCAAGGAUGUUCUAAAGAAAAGGGGAAGGGAGGCAGGAGGUGAAAAUUGAAAACUGUGCUUUUUGCUGAAGCAAAGAGACACAAGAUCAUCUGUUUUUUACCUGUUCAUCGGCAAGAUACGCAUACAGAGUUAUUAAAUGCAGUUUUGGUUUUCCUUGUAUCCUUGGGAAUGCUCAAGAGUUACUGGAUAACUGGUUGAGUAAUUUUACCAAGGCUGAGAGAUCAUGCACAAUCAUUGGUAUUGCUGCUGUUUUCUGGAUCCUAUGGAAAACAAGAAACAAUACCUUGUUUUCGUAACAUUUUACCACAUGAUCCCACUGCAGUAAAGUACACUAUCUGUUGAACCAUUGAAUUCUGGUCAGGUCUUCAGACAGACACAAGACACUCCUCCUAGGUUACGCGACGGCUAUGGCGAGUAAUGGCCGAAACCUUCAAUCGAGCAUGGCAUGGGCGCCAAUUACUCUCCAGAUUGAAGCUGAUGGUUGAGGGAUAGUGUUCCAAAUGUGUGAUUCUGUGACGAUGAGUUCGAGCAAGCCGACUUCCUGUGUUUGCCCCAGAGUUUUCAUCUCUAAUUGUUGUAGUGUCAAUGUCUGUGUUUCUCCGGCAUCCACACCAGUGUAUGGUGGAGCUGGCGCUCGGUGUUGCUCGUUUAGUUGGUGAUUUUUGAACCUGUUGUGUUAAGCCAGACUUAACUCAUGUAGUGUGUUUGUGGUUUGAAAUCGGAGGGCCGUGGCCCCUCUGUUAUAUUAAAAAAAGGUACAAUCACUACGAAUAUGUAUUACCAAUAUGGAAUGCAAGUAAUAUAUUUGCAAUACAAAAGUCACGAACUAUAAUGUCCAGAAGAUAACAGAGAAACAAAACAAGACAUUCUCGAAGGAAAGAAAUAAACUCCUGUCCCCAAAAAAACUAGUUUAUAAGAAGAUUUGUUGCUAUAAUACUCUUCUGUUUCCCCUAAAUGAUUUCAUUUUGGGCAUAGGAAAAAUAAAGCUUCCAAAGCUUUUACUACCAAUAUCUUUAAAUACUUUAACUAAAUACUUGGAAAUCGUAAGUAUAAAUUUGUCUCAAAAAGACAAAGUAUUUUUGCAAUAUGCAAUUUGGAUUCUAUAGAUAUUACUGCAAAUAUAAACUAACGGUCGAUGUUGUGUUUUGGACCAUGCCAAUGUCAAAAGCAACAGCUUUUAGGGAACUGGAGUGAGUAACUUAUUUGAGAGCUAACAGUUAAGAAGUCCCCUGUUUAAUAGCUUAUUCCCACAACUCACAUACCAGAUAAAAUUAAGCAUUUUAUAUAAAAAACUAUUAUGGACAACUGAUAUGUGCCUGUGCCUGUGCCUGUGCCAGUGACAGUUCUUUCGAGAAAGGAGUAUUUCUCUGAGUAAUACUGGCAUGUUGGAUCUAAAUAUAGUAAAAUGGAACGAUAGCACACCCAACUCAGUCUGCAAAUUCCAAAAUCCUGAACAGAUGUCAUAUAGCAAAGUAAACUUUUCCACACGCAAAAAAAAAACUUUUUCAUUUAGAUGUACAUUAACCGAAAUCUCAUCAAACGAAUAAGAAAUGUACCUCUGUCACCAACAAAAUCAUAUAAUCCCUCCGUCCAACAAAGGAUGUCUCAACUUUGACUAAAUUUGAAUGCAUCUAUACACUAAGUCAUGUCUAGAUACAUUCAAAUUUUGAGAAACUUGAGACAUCCUUUGUUGGACGGAGGGAGUACAGUAUAAAACAAACAGACUAGAAAAUGCCCUAAAGGGAAUCCCACUACGACACCUGAAAUGCAGUAUCGAAGUGCUCGCAGGGCACGGUCUGGCAAUUGGGAUAUGCCUUCUUCGCCGCCGCCUCGCUGUACGCUCCAGGGAAGCCCUGGGUAAUCACCAAAACAAAACUCCCAUCAGAUUUUCCACGAAAAGCGCAGGGAAUGAUACGGAAUGAAACUGAAUGACCACAGGCGUUUCGUCAAGCACCUGGUAGGCCACCUUGAGGCCCUCCCCGCUCGUCUCCAUAAGGUCCGCAUUCGUGAGCGGCCCUAAUAACCCCGACACAGAAUGACAGAACCACCACACACCCACGACAAAACCACCGAGUGAUUAACAAUUUUUCCCCACAAAACAAAACAAAAAACGAGCUGAAAUCGGCUAAAAAUGCGUCGCCGCUCGACUUACUUGGCAGCCCGUGGGGAUCGCGGUACACGGGGACAGGGGAGUCCGCGACAGGUAUAGGCGGGGCCCGGAGGCCUUUGAGGUCCGCGGACCCUACGCCGUCCGCCACGGUCGGCCGGGGCCGCGAGGCAGAAGGGAGUGGGGCGGAGUUGGAGUUAGUGGCGCUGCUGCAUUUGAGGGAGUGGCGAGGUGACGGGGAGGGAGAGGACGAAGAGGGGGAGGCGACGGCGCCGGAGGCGGAGCGGGUUCGGGCGGGGAAGAAGGAGAGCCGGGGGCAAGUCAUGGAGGCCAUAGCCGCCCGGCGCGCUCGCUAAGCUGCUACGCAGCAGGUAGAGAAGACGAGAAGCGGAAAAAGGGAAAUUCGCCCACGGGUUUCCCAGACUACCAGACGUGACACGAGAUUUGUUUUGAGGGGUGGAAAGUGGAACACCGAUGCACACGGGCGUGGCCACGUGAGAUUGGAGAGCCGACAAUUGAAGAAUGUACGCAUCCUUCUUAUGUUUUUUUUUAUAAACACAGUAGUUUUCUGAUCGUGGGUACGGAGAUAAGAUCAUCAAGUUCGAUGAAUUGGGCAGAUUUCUGUUAGAAUUUGGAAGAGAAAAUUAGCUAGAACCGUCACAAUCGGGGCAACUGUCUAGAAAAACCACAUUUUUAUAUUAUUUUUUGUAAAUUACCACCACUUUCGGAGCAACGAGUACUCCCGCGCACUGAUCCGCUGGAGGGCGGCGGCGCGGCCGAACAGCUCGCCGGAGGCGAGCCCUCGUGGCGGCGGCGAACAGCGCUAGGCGCGGGCAGGCUUUGGGGCGGCAAAUCGACUACGGAGAGAGGGAGAAGGAGGAGGCGCUCACCACGAGAAGAAUAGUGGGCUUGGGCAGAGCAGCCGCUGUCGGUGGAGACUCGGCGACGGCGGGGGUCGCUACGGCUCGAAGGAGCUCCCCGGAGAGGAGGCAUGGGAUCUGCAAUGUUGUGGCAGUCCUCGGCGGCUUGGCACGGAGUCAGGGAAGGCACGGGAGGAGCGACGUGCAUCACGACGGCGCUUCUGCCGGAGGCGGAGAAGAAGAUGGUCGCGCGGGGCCACAGCGUCGUGGCAAUCCCGCGUGUACUUCGCGUCCGGCGCGGCGAUGCUGGCGCUGCUGCCGCGCUCGCCGGCCACGGUGGACGCCUAGGCCAGCAUGGAGCCACCGUGGACCUGACAUGUGGGCCCCACUGUCAGUUUUUCCAUCAAAAUGGGAUCAACCAGCGGAUCAGUGCGCGGGAGUACUCGCUGCCCCGAAAGUGAUGGGCCCAAGCCUAAUCCCUAAUUAAAUUCGGUAAAAUCUAAAAAUUUCAUGUAUAAAGUGAAUCCGAUGAGCGUAAAUAGUCUCGUGUUGCAAGCAAAGAGAGAGGAAAACCAAUCGUAUAAUAGACGUUGACUCUCUCCACUAGAAAAAGACCAUAUGGGUUCUCCACCCGUUCUCCUCCUUCACCGUCACCCGCACGCGUCCUUCGCGUUCGUAAAUCGAACCUGGGUGGGACAGGUAAUUAUUAUCUCCUGAAGCAAUACGUGUGUCAUAAGUAUGAUAUAUUUAGAGUUGUUUCGGGUUUCCUCACCCAAACUGGCAUUUGCCCACAUGGCCAUAUAACGAAGUGACCAUGUCUCUCGAAACGAAACACAUAAAACCGAGCCUAGGGUUUUACCUCUUCUCGACGUUGCGUCGCCAUCAUAAUCAACCUUGCUUCGAACGCCGGUGUGCACCGACGAACAGGAGAGCAGGUCUUCGAAAUCUUCCGCUCUUGCAUGUUUGUUGGUUACUGCCAGGGACGGAUUUAGGGGCCCCCCUAACAAAUUAGCGAUCCUUUUGUGAUUACCGUAUUUGAGCUAGUUUUAAGCCUUUUCGCCCCGGAUCUUGGCCCAUUAUUCUCUGAAGCCCAUCAAUGAAAAGGCAGCCCAACGGCCCCCCCCCCACCCCCCCCAAAUGACAAAAAAUUGACAACACCCUUUAAGAAAAUUUGGAAGACUCACUAACAGGAUUUCACGCUUUUUCUAACGUCAUCGCUUGGGUACGCUCUUUUCUAGAGGUAGGAUCUAUUCGCUUCCUGCCGUAUUAAAUCAUUAUGUAUCUUUAUUUUUUAUAAUGGCGGCACUCUUUUCGUCCUCUCACCGAGAUUACAUAUUUCUUAGGAAUUUAAUUGUCUUGGUUAUCGUACAUUCUGCGUAAGACAUAUACUCCCUCCAUCCGUUUUUCUAGGCUGAAAUUUGCUACUCCAUACUAAGACAGUCUGUUCAUUGAUUUGGAGCAGCUGCAUGCCAGCUUCAUUUGUUUGUUUAUGAGCAUGCCGUUGUGGGUCCGCAUGAGAAGUACGCAUAUUAAUAUCGGACUGCAUGGUCGGCCAUUUUCCUUUGUAGCAAACAAAUCAGCCGCGUACACAAAAUUUUCAGAAAUUCAUCGCCUUGGGACUAUUUCUUGAAGUGAUUGUACUCUGUUGUGGUAAUAUAUUUAGGUAUAAAAUCUUUCCCAUUGCCCCGAAAAAAAUAUCGUACUGCACAUAAAGAAAUGUGUGCCUACUAAAGACGGACAGAGAAAGAGUAUAUCAUAAUGUUGACUAGUUGUUCGGUUGUUUUAUACUAGUAUCUUGCAAUAUCUUGUCAUUACCAUCAUCUAAUUUUAUUUUCAGAUUUUUUAUUUGCGGAUAGUAGCGUUGUCGAUGCCAAGCAAAUCAUCCUCCCAGGGCCUCGAGCCCUCGAUGUUGCGCGCGGUUAGCGGUGAGCGUAAUCCACGGUACUCGUGGGGAUACAUGAAAGUAAUGCACUAGAUUGGCGUUUGACAAAUCUGUGGGGAUAGCUAAAAUUUCAUUUUCUCGACAAUACACGAAUUCAAGAACAACUUAUAUGUGCACGUGUGUAGUACGAAUACUCGAUGUCUAUCCAUAUAUCUGAAUCUACUAACUAGAACAUAACCGGAGUCCGGAGGGCAAAACAGUCUAUCAUACCUGAAUCAUGGUGCUUUGUACUAGCAGAUUAGUGAGUUCAGCUCGCAAUCACAACCUUGGUUUCUAAGCCUCCAUCGGUGCCUCGUUCCAAUCGGCUGGGCAAAUAUAGUACUCCUGGGACAUUUACCACCAGCGGUACACAUCAAUUAGUUAGCAGUCUUCGUCUAUCUGGCCACUUUUAAGCGAUAAUUAACGGUCAAAUUGCGGCACUGCCACAUCCACUGCUGCUAUACUAAUCAGCAUCGAGCCGCCUUGUCUCUCUAUCCCGAUCUAAUCUCCGAUGACGUUCGUGCUUACCCCGAGGAUCGAUACGUAUAUCCUCUUCGGCAUCCAUGGAUCUCGUUCGAAUCAGACACCCUUUUGACGGCUCGAAUAGACAGUGAAAAUGUUGUUUAAUUUGUGGCUACUUUAUUCCGGAUACGAUCCUGACGUCUUAAUACUUGUCGGCAACAAUUACGCAACUUGUAGUUCUUCCGAACUUAGAGAAGAAGCUUCCGUGGAUUAGGAAGCAUCGCAGGGGCGAAGCUUCACCGGUAUCAUAAUUUUCAGGAGGAAAUGGAGAAUUAUUUCCUAAAAUACGGAAAUGGAGAAUUAUGUUAUGCUUCCACCGGCCGGGCAUGGCAUGUUAGACUUUAAAAAUGAACAAGAGGACAUCUUCGUUGACAUCCAGCAUAAUUGCCCAGGAAAUAUUUUUAAGCACUUUUAGUUUUCUGGCUUACAUAGAUAUGUAUAAUGGAUUAAUGGGUAGUUUUAUUCUGGAACUUGUAGUACAUUUCAACCUGUGUCUCACUUAAAGUAACCACUACUUAGAUGUGUUAUUCAUCUAUUCUCCACACUGGCCAUUUGUUUCUUGGUAUCCGUGUAGUACCUCUUGUUGAGGAUGCUCUAAGGAUUCUCCUCAUGAGGGUGGGACAUUCUGGUAAUUCAUACUUUUUCCGUAGAAUGUUUCAACUUUUAUUAAAUUUGAAUGCAUUUAUACAUUAAGUUAUGUCUAGAUACAUUCAAAUUUUGACAAACUUGAGACAUACUUUGUUGGACGGAGAGAGUAUUAAAGAAAACAUGACACUAACUAUAAGAAAAUGGGGCAUAAAAAGUCUUUUGUCAGGUUUAUGCGGCACUUGCUCUUGAGAGCACAAAAACAAUAUAGUCUCGCCGGAGCUCGUGGCCAUUUGGAUUUUCGGAAAACCUAGUCUCACUGAGGGGUGAAUCUAGAUGACUAGAUGAGCAAACCACCCAUGUCAGCUCCAUUAUGUUGGGUUUGUCUUCUGUACAUCAACAGUGACCGGCACCAACUUACUCUUAAUCUGCAAGUUUUUUAUUGGAUUUACCUGCACCCAGUGCCUACGGCGCGGCGUAGCCGAGAGGAGGACGUGAUUCGACGGUCUUGCACGACCGCUCUUGAUCGGGACGCAGGAUCUCCAGCAGUCCUCCAUGUUUCGAGCCGUCGGCUCGAGGACGCCAGACUUCCUUCCCAAUCGGAGCGUUCUCUACGCUGUAGAAGGGGAAGAAAAACGCUAGAAAUAAGAGCGAGUGGCCGGUCAAAUGGCACCACGCCAAGCAGAAUUUCCCAAUACCGCGUCGGCUGCUACUCCAUCCGCUCCGUCCACAUCGCUCCCAUGGAAAUCCACGCCCGCGACGACCUCGACCACUGACAGCCUGACACGCUGGACCCCCGUGUACACACACACAGCCUCGCAAACACUUGCCAACCCCACCUGUCAGCUACACGGCUCUCGAUCCAAACCCGUCGCGGUUGGUGCGUCCAUCCAAGGGGAGCCGCCGCGGUCGUUUGACCGUUGAAACUGCCGGGGCCGUCCGAUGCGCACGCUUCCUCCGUCGAGCCGUACGUCCCUACCCUUAAUUCCCCGGGCAACACGGGCAAAAUGAGAAGAGACCUGCAUGUACAGUGUACAGACCCUCUCGUUCGCUUUCUCGUAACCUUCCUGGGCCGGAGACCGGGGGCGAGCCGCCCUUUUCUAUUUAUAAUUCUCUCCGCUUCUCCCCCUUCAUAAAUCGGGGGCUCAGCAUAAAGUCAAUUGGGUGCGCGUGCUGCUUGUGAUCGAGUUUGUUUUGAGCGGAGCGGAGAGGGCAGGAGGCAGGAGGGGAUUUGUUUGGGGGAUUUCCGGAUUCGUGGUGUGUUUUGGGCGAGAGGGGAUCGGAAUGGACGGCGCUCCGGUGGCCGAGUUCCGGCCGACGAUGACGCACGGCGGCAGGUUCCUCCUGUACAACAUAUUCGGCAACCAGUUCGAGAUCACGGCCAAGUACCAGCCGCCCAUCAUGCCCAUCGGCCGUGGCGCCUACGGGAUCGUCUGGUACGUUUUGAUCCUUGCUCGCCAGCAUCAAUCCCCUCCCUAAGUUGAAACUUGUUGAUUGGUAUCUUCUGGGGAAAGAUACCAAUCACCCCUUUCUUUACUGAGCACUGGUUCUGCAGUUGUUGAGCAAAUAUAGUUAAUCUGCCAGUGCUGUUGUGGGUUGGUGUGGUGUUUAAUUUUUGUCCCUGAAAUUUUCCGUUUCUGAUGUGCGUGCCGACAGCUCGGUGAUGAACUUUGAGACCAGGGAGAUGGUGGCAAUCAAGAAGAUCGCAAACGCGUUCGACAACAACAUGGAUGCCAAGCGCACGCUCCGGGAGAUCAAGCUCCUCAGGCACCUCGACCACGAGAACGUAAUUCUUCUCGUCUCUGACACCGGUCUUAAUUGCGGCUUCAAUUUCAUAAUAAUUCGGCACUAACUGUUACGCCGCGCGCAUGUGGACGAACACAAAAAACAGAUCGUUGGCCUGAGAGACGUGAUCCCGCCGGCGAUCCCGCAGUCGUUCAACGACGUGUACAUCGCCACGGAGCUCAUGGACACGGACCUCCACCACAUCAUCCGCUCCAACCAGGAGCUCUCAGAAGAGCACUGCCAGGUAAUUAAGGGACGGAACUAAUAUCAAGCGAUGUGUGCUUUGAUUUCAAAAUGUUCCCGUUUACUAACUGGGGAUCAUAUAUAUAUUGGUGCGUUUGCAGUACUUUCUGUACCAGCUGCUGCGGGGGCUCAAGUACAUCCACUCGGCGAACGUGAUCCACCGGGACCUGAAGCCCAGCAACCUGCUGCUGAACGCCAACUGCGACCUCAAGAUCUGCGACUUCGGCCUCGCGCGGCCGUCGUCGGAGAGCGACAUGAUGACGGAGUACGUGGUGACGCGGUGGUACAGGGCGCCCGAGCUGCUGCUCAACUCCACCGACUACUCCGCCGCCAUCGACGUCUGGUCCGUCGGCUGCAUCUUCAUGGAGCUCAUCAACCGGGCGCCGCUCUUCCCGGGGAGAGACCACAUGCACCAGAUGCGGCUCAUCACCGAGGUCAUCGGGACCCCGACCGACGACGACCUGGGGUUCAUCCGGAACGAGGACGCCAGGAGGUACAUGAGGCACCUGCCGCAGUUCCCCCGCCGCCCCUUCCCGGCCCAGUUCCCCCGGGUGCAGCCCGCCGCGCUCGACCUCAUAGAGCGGAUGCUCGCCUUCAAUCCCCUCCAGAGGAUCACAGGUACAUACAUACGCUCCUCCGUCUGCUUUACUUCUCCCUUUCUCGUGUAGUAUAAAUUUACUAGUACUAUUAGUGCUGGUCAAAGCGCCGUGCUUUGCUGAUUGACGAGUCUGGUCAGUGUUGUUGGUUAACAUUACUAUGCUGUUCGUUGGUGUUAUAGACAGAGGCAAAUCUGCUGCUGCCGCCACUUUCGACCCUAUUUUAAGAUUCCUGCGUGUGGACAUGUGCUCUCUUUUUAGGCAAAACCAUGUGUUCUCUCCACUAAAUUUAGAGAAGAUCUCUUGCGUAUCUUAUAAGGAGAUAUCCGCAGUUGACGACACCGUAGUGCGGUAUAAACGCUCUCAUGGAAGAACAAGUGCGUUUUCGGCAACAACUAAAAAAGGAACAGAUCUGCUGCAGUCAGUCUAGAAAUUGCUCUUGUGGAUCCUUUACUAAAAAAGGAACAGUCUCAUGUAUCGGUUUCAGAAAGCAAGAGCUUUUAGACCUGCGACUCAUGUGGAUUCUUAACUGAAAUUGCACUUCUUGUCAUGCAGUGGAAGAAGCGCUGGAGCAUCCGUACCUGGAGCGGCUGCACGACAUCGCGGACGAGCCCAUCUGCACGGACCCGUUCUCCUUCGACUUCGAGCAGCACCCUUUGACGGAAGACCAGAUGAAGCAGCUGAUAUUCAACGAGGCCCUCGAACUGAACCCCAACUUCCGAUACUAGAUGAUUCAUCCUCUCCCCCAAUAGUGCGAUUUCAGUGUAAACAUGCUUUGUAAAUAGGAGCGAGAUAGAUCAAAGGAGGCCCGGUGAACCCAACACUGCAUUUGUUUGUUUAUUCCGUGUAAGUUGCUGCUGCUACUUUCAGACGUUUGAUGUCCUCGGCUGUGCGAAUAAAAAUGCUUGGACUUCCGAGUAUGGUUUGGGAGCACAUCAUCAAUCUCUACUUAUGGCUUUUGCCAAAUGCAUGCAGAAUUUGCCUCGUUGCCAGAUGCAUCCAGGAGUAUUUCACAGACUUUGCUACAAAGUGAACUGCAAGCGUACAUAAACAUUGAAAUGUUAUUCAAAUUGUCUGAAAUUUACACAAACCAAAUGCAGGUGCUCUGGAAAAUUUGGACAAAACUGUCAACCGCAAACGAGGAACGAAUGGGGUCCUGUUUCCUGGUCUUGACUGGUUGCCUGCAUUCCGAAUCACGAGAUGUGCAAGUGCUUUCAUAAGCUCUUUCCCUGCACCCGGAAUUCAGAUCUACAUUGUCUGCAUCCCCAUGAAGACGUGGUAACUUGACUGACUCCGUCACCACAGGACAGCGAACACAAGGCACCAACUGGUAGUCAAAUGUCAACUUAAUAUGGGGAAAAAAUCUGGUAGAACAGCUCUAACUGGCUAACUGCAUCAGUAGCAACGAUGCUCUGGCUACAAAACUGGUGGAAGGAUGACAUGCUUCUGAAUCUCAUUAGGAAACGAAGUGAUUUAGAUUAAUAUUGCUACUCCAGUUCAUUAGAAGGAAUUGAAUGUAACAACAAACUAGCUCAAUUUUCAUACCAACACAAGGACUAACCAAACCACCAAAAGUUCCUUGCUCUAAAUUCACAUUCCCCAUACUAUUUAACACCAAAUAACACAGUACUCUAAAUUAUGAAAAAGAGCGACUCAGUACUUUUGCAUAACAGAGUCAAACUUGUUACCAAAUAGGAGUAACAUGGGAUUCAAACUUACGAAGAUGACUCAGUAUUAUUGCAGAACCACAGUGAGUCAGAGGAUAAUCCUAACAGAAGCAGUUUGGCAAAAUCCAGUGCAUUUCCUUAGUUCACACAGAAUCUGCACAGGAUACAUGAAAAGCACUUCUGCAUUUCCAUCCUAUUUGUCACCAAAUAACAGCGAGUCAAACAAUAAGCCCUUCCUAACUGUUACGGAGUACCAAAUAACAUGAGAUUCAAACUUGUGAAGUUGACUCAGUACUAUUGCAAAACCACAAGCACUACGGCAUUCCAUCAUACUUGUCACCAAACAACAUAGGGUUCAAACUUAUGAAGAUGUGCAAAACCAAAGUGAGUCAAAUGAUAAUCCUGAAAGAAACGACCAGCUAAAGAGGCAAAAUCAAGUGCAUUUCAGAAGUUAAAACACGGAUCAUGCACAGAACACACUGAAAAGCACUACUGGAUGUCACACCAAUAGAUCUGCGGCACAAGGCAACUGAAUUCAGCUUAACAGCUCAGAAACCACUGACAGCGUACAAGGGAUGCCCUCAGGCCAACAAACUUUAUUACAGAGAUGAUUACUUAAGCAGUCUGCCGGUUCACAAGGACCCUAGACUAGAAGCAGAACAAGAUCACUCUGAUCGCACAUAGUAGCAGCAGUACUACACCACUUAAGCUUCAGCAUACCUGUAAUGACAGUUCACAAGGACAGAUGAUUAGAUACAGUCGAGCACUCGAGCUGAUGAGAAUACUACCAAUGCGACAGCAACUCACCCCAGUUCGGACAGCCUGAGGUGUGCCUCCUUGUAGUCCUCAAAGAAAGCCUUCUCAUCCUGCCACAAUGAAUAUAAAAAAGUUUGUAUAACUUUUACAUAUCUCUACAACCUGGUUUAGUAGAUAGCAACAGGAGACAUACAGCAGCAUAUUUCUCCACGAGAGGGCGGAAGACAGGGUCACUCAGCAGGGUUUUGUCACUAGGAAGCUGAAGAAGGCCCUCUUUGUCACCACUCAGAAGCUCCCUGUGAAAACGAGUACGUUAAAGACAUCGAAUCAGCAAUAAAUGGGAUAAUAUGUUCUUAACUAGACAUGGUUUAAGAAAAGAACAAUAAAAACAGCCAGUUCAACCCACUUACGUGAAGUAAGUGUUGUCAAACUUCAAAGGUUCUCUAGUCCAGGGUCCCUCAAAGCCAGAUCUCUCCUUGUGGCACCUUCCCUUAAAACCCAAGAAAAUUUCAUUAGUGCAUCACGCAGCGAUCAAAGUACAUUACGGAAGCAUAUAAGAAUAGGAAAACUAACCAGGGUGUGACCACCAGAGAGGGCAACAAUAUCCUGAUCACUCAAGCCCAUCUGUUUGCCGAACACUUGCCUUAGGUGGUCAGAACCUAGUAGAGGACAGUAAAGAAAGUCAUCAGAGUGGAGCGAACAAAGCAAUACUACAGCAGAGCUUUCUUAUAACUUGAGCCAUCAGGAUAAUGGAACAAUAUAGGCAUCAUCAAAUGAUGGAGCGAACAGAGCAAUACUAGACAUGGAAAUAAUUAAUACUUCGUGAGAAGCAGAAGGCAUUUCAACAAUGCGGUACUAUCAAGACACUAUAUGGAGCGAACAUCAAUUUUGCAGCAUAAGUAGCAACCAAAGCAAGAAUUCCUUUUCAUUCCCUCAUUCCCAUAUUAAGUGACUCAAAUUCACCCAAAUAUGGAUGUAUCUAUAUCCAAAAGGUGUCUAGAUACAUGUAAUAUUUCAUCACUUAAUAUGGGACUGAGGGAGUACAUGGGUUCCACGCAGUUAGUAAUAGUGAUAAAUAUUUGUUACUAGUGAAAAAUUGCAAGAAAUAUAGCAUGGGUUAGAAAGAUACCCUUGGUAGCAUCAGGAAGGCGACCCUCAGGUGGGGGCUGAGGCUUGUCCUGGAAAAGGAAUAGGAUUGUAAGAUGUUCUUGGGUAGACAAAAACAACGAAACAGAUCAGGUGAUAACUUCACAUUCUGUUUAAUUGCAAGAACACAAAAACAGAAAUAUUUGUAAUUACUCCCUCCGAUCCAUAAUAAGUGUGUCAGAUUUUGUACUCGGCUAGUACAAAGUUGUACUAAGUGUGAGACACUUAUUAUGGAUCGGAGGGAGUAGUUGCUAAGUUCUGGAAUACAGUAAUGAGCCAGGGAACUCUUAUUAAGGCUACCCAUGGAACCAACUUGUAUCAUGACAGAUUAAAUCAGUCUCAGAUUAAUUUGGAUCGAAGUGGGAACCAGCAAGAACUAAUAUCAUGACUGAUUAAAUCAACUUGCCACUGCUCCUAUCACGGAGUAAAAAUGCAAUCAAAAGUAGUCACAUUACAAUUAUUAUGGUACAUUAACCCAGUAAUCCAACCCUUAAGGACGACAGUAAGCAUGUCAAGUCCAAGCAACAAAAACGUUGCGGGCUUGCGGCCAACCAACACGAACAGUCCAGGACACAAACACCACUUAACAUAAACCAUACCUUAUGAUGAUAAACACAAACUAUUCUAAAAUAUUACAACCAGAAACCUCAGUCCUAUUAAACUAAAAAAAGUCGCCGGCCAAAGACUAAUGUAAUCGCUUUUUCCAAGAGCAACCAACCCAUAGACUAAAAGCACAUCAGGACAAAGCCUUAAAACUCAGCAUCACCAACCUAUGCACAGUACCCCUGCGGAGUUAAAUUCUCUAAAACCCUGAGACUACUUCAAGGUUGAGAAAUCUCACCUCCCUCCCUGGGUGAAAGGGGAUCUCAGGUCCACCGGACACCUCCACGGCGACAACUCCCGCAAGCUACACAGAGAAACAAAAACAGACGCAAUUUUUUUUUCAGAAAUCACGUCCAUUCGACCAGAUCGGGCCGUUCAACCAGAUCUAACCGUAUUCGGGUCGAACCUGGUAGAGAUCGGCGUAAGAGAUGGUGGGGAUCUCCUCCUUGAUAGGCUCGAGCAUCCGCACCGCGAUGUCCAGCCCCGCGUUGGCGGCGUGCGCCUGCUCGGCCGGUUUCUUCAUCGUACCGAACGGGCCGCCGGUCUUCGACGACACGUCGAAGGUCCCAGCGGAGUGCCACCUGCGCGGCGAUCUCAGAUCAGACAACGGAAAUCCCCCGCGACACGAGCGCGGACAGGAGAGGGAACUUACGCGAGGCGGAGCAUGAGCGGGGCGCAGCUCUUCUCGGCGAUGAGGGCGCGCAGCUUGCGCCUGGCCUUCUCGACGGCCUCCUGGUACUCAGCGCUCACGGUCGGGUAGGUCUUCGCCAUGGCUGCUACUGGGAGGUAAAAGCUUCGGAUCAGGCGGAGAGGGAUGGAAGAACUGAUGAAGACAGCAAGGCUUGUGGGGCGAAUGGCAGCCACGCUCCCCCGGGGGUUUAUAUGCUGAGAAGGACGCCGCCGGUACAGGGGAGGGGAGAAGGGAAGCUUCUGCGAGGGCUCCCCCUGGCCGUCGAUCCUGGGUUGGGCGAUCGUGCGGUGGGAGCUGCGGUACAUUUGGACGCGCGUGAUAGGUACGCCAGUAGUAAUGGCCCGUGGGCCAGUGCGGUAGGUAGGGGAAUCGGUUCUUCUGUUUAUACGAUUUUGCCCCUGCUUUGCACGGAAAAGCGGAAGGCGGCGUAGGUGCUUUUGGUCAUUUUCUGGAGGCCCCGCUAUCGUAAACGGCGACGAUUCACGGCUUCACGGGCUGGUGGGACACGUGGCUUGAGGUGACUGGUGGUGGCCCGACGGAAAUGGAUCAGCGUUAACGCCGGCCCGAUAUUAUCGGCCUCGGUCAGUGUGCCUCUGGUCUGAUCCUUUCCCUGCGUGCCUGACCCGCGUAGUUUACCGUCCUCCUUCCGUUCAGUUGGCGAACUCGGUCGAGGCGAACGACUGACAGUCGGUACACAGAACGUUUUGAGAGAGAUCCGUUUCACAUCCAGAGGUUUGAUCAAAUUUUUCAUCUUCAUUCAGCCAUGCAGAUGCCUCCUCAUGGAUCCGUUUCUCAUUCUAAAGGUCUGACAGAUUCUCGUCUCCUUACUCCUGCCAAAAUCGUUAACAGUGUCACUUAUUUUUCUUCUACUCCGUAUUUCCUAAGGAUGCCAAGGAUGAAUUGGUCAGGCGAUCAGUUUAAUUAUCAGCGUCAGACAGGUUACAUUCAUGCUGGAACAGGCAAAGACUGCUUCCAAAAGAAAGAAAAAAGGAAAUAGCCAAAGGCGCCGGACGUGAGUUGAUGAAAAGGAGACUAGGGAAGACAUUAUAAUCGAGUCUAAAUUGAAAGAAUUGAGAAGACAUUAUCGUGGCCGGUUUCAUGCUGCAGGAACAUGACACAAUCUCCGCUUACCAGUCAAUGCUUUUGAUUUCUUUCGUGUUUGCCUUCGCACCGAUCAUUCGAAUAGCCAACCCAUUGCACGCUUUUUUUCAACCCAUUGCACGCUGACGUUCUGAAAGAUACUUUUCCAGAUUUUGUCAGCCAGAGAGUCUAGAAACAUAGUUUAGCAAAGGCGGGUGAGUGCGCAAGCUUUGCUCAUAAGCUGCAGCUAGCACGUGUGCAGUAAUUAACCCAGGACUAAGCACUGCUCCAUCAAUCAACCCAAAGUCUGGGCAUCCCUCUUGUGGCUCGGAAGAUAAUGAUAGAAAGCAGCGGAAUCAAGGGGGAAAGACGCUGACCGUUGAGGCGAGCCGCCACGGCACCACCACGCGCGCUUGUCCGACCAGGCGAGGCAUAUCCGUCGUCGCGCCCGUCGGUGUGCAAGCAUCUCCACCUACCGCCAUCAAAUUUAACAGCGCGACAAGGAGUAAUGGCCGCCCGGCGGAGCAUGGUGUGGAACCAGACGGGGACACGCCGAUAUUCUAUCGCGCAAUUCCGACGACGCUCGCGCGGCCUGACCCAGUUCUGCCCCCACCGGCCGGCGGCUAAAAUAUUUCUAGUUUUUCUUAUCCGGUUACGUACUACUUUGAUCGACGGCGUCACCAAACGGAAUAUGAGUAUUUUGGGGGGCGUCUGUUUCUUUGCGAGAAUUUGUGGAGUACUUUUUUGUACACACGAAUCGCGACUGCUCAACAUAAGCAUAUCACUGUCAUGAACAAGGUCAUGACCUUUGUUUGGGUUGGAAUCAUUCGACUUUAUAUUAUUUUUUUUCGAAUAAUAAUCAUUCGACGUUAUUACUACGCAGCAUUAUCAAUGUAUCAUGCUAUCCGAUCUAAUUGGUUAACCUAUAGGUUUUUUAUGCUCUCUCAUAAGUACUCCAAAACUUACAAACAUAGCAUAGGAGUACUACGGAAGAGUUCAAGAGGGCACCUUACAAACAUUCUUAAAAACGGGUUUCUUAAAGAGAAGCAGCUUGUUUUUUAGUUAGAGAUAAAUCGAAGUGCUUGGCCGUUAUCUUAAGUGGGAGAUUAGGAUUGCAUCAGAUCUUAAUACAAGGCUUUGAUACGUUGACUGAUACUCCUAAAAUAUAACAUACCCUUUUGAAACAAACCGAGGCCUCAAUCCAUUAAUUGAACUAGCUAAAUGUCUGUGCUCUGGUACGAAAUUAAGAAUUUGUGUUAUGCAUGAGUUGUUUAAAUAUGUGUCGCUCAUAUUUUUUAAAUUUCUGAUAAAUAAGAAUUAUGUCAAAAUAUUAUUUUUGAAAAAUACAAUUACUCUUGAAAGUCAUGAAAACCAAUCAAGCAUAGUCAAAAGAUCAUGAUACGUAUAUAAUGAGUGACAAUUAGAUGAGUAUAUAAUGAGUGACAAUUAGAUGAUUCUGUAGUUUUUAAGAGGUAGUGUUGUUGGAGUGAACUCGUGACCACCAACUCAAAUUUUUACAAGUGUAAAGAUAAUAAUAAAGUUGUCCAAUUAAUUGAAAAAUAGACAAAAAUCGUCACAACAGUAUAUGAUGUUGUCAACAUAACCGCAUCACACACACUAUUAGCUGGUCUGUCUGUUAACAAGCACUCGACACACAGAAGAUCGUCAUUGAAGUUGCAUGGGUGUCAUUGCAAUCACGCACAACACAACCAAAUUGGUGGAUCCAACUUCACUACAAAUGCCCGAAAGACAAGCCUCGGAUGUGUCAUUGUCAUCAAUGGUGCCUGAACCCGAAUUGAUCGGAACUGACCGGCCAGGGAAAAAAUCGAGAUUAAUUUACUGCCGGACGCUAGGGCCCGUUGGUCAGAUUUGCGCACGUGAUUGGGAAAUUACGAGUUUUUUGUUACAGAUUAGUAGAAAAUGCGUGUUAAGUGAAAUGUGGUUUUGCGAUACUUAUCUUUCGAAGAUAGAGGUGCCUUGAUAUUUACUUUUCUUUUAGAGAAACUUCUGUAUUUUUUUUAAAAAAACUGAACCCUUUGUACCUAUUACCUCGGUUUCACUCUCAUAUUAGGGUGUUGCGUUUCUACGUGGAAUCACCGUAAGUCCGUAACGCCUAGAAAAAUUGGGCCGGAAGGUUACUAGUUUGUGAGCAAGGUCGAAUUUCACUUAUCUGGGAAGAUGGGCCAUCAUGCUUCCUGGACGUCCGAAUAACGUGAACUAGAACUGGGCUAGAAUUAUAAGCAACACUAUGGUCCAUCAUGGUUCCUGGAUGCCCGAAUAGGGCAAACCAAAACUUGAAAACUGGGCCAGUAUCUAUUACAAUAUAUUAAAUUGGAAUCGGUGGUGAUGGGUGGACGCGUUGGUCGGUCAACUUCGUUAAAAUUACAAUCAAUAUGUCAUUGUUUCUUAUUUUCUUUCCUUCCCGUCUUAUUCACGAAUUCAGUAGCAGAAAUUCUACGGUUUAGAUUUACCGAAAGUUAUCGUACGGUCCAAAUUUGUUACAACAUAAUACGAACAGUUCUAAAAUAAAUCAAUCUUUUUAGUAUGAAAUCCAAAAUUCUUCGUAUCCAUCUCAGUAUGGAAAUCAAUCCGAACCCAAACAAAAAAUCUCGGUAUCAAUCUCAGUAUGGAAAUCAAUCCAAUCGAAAAAUCAAUGUCCAGACUUUACCUCCACCGGCUCGUGUUUGAUACACUUUCCGUUGUUCCGUAGCAUCGCACGGGUUCUUUUGCUAGUUCUAAGUAACACAUGAUAAAUAGAAUGGCAGGCCCAGAGUGUGGUGCAGUGCUGGGAGGAGAUGAGAGCGAUGACGUCAAUAAAACGAGGAACGAUCGCAUACGCUCUCUCGUCGGGAGAAAACCCGUGUGAAUGGGAUCGAACCGUGAGUUCGUGAGGAGCCACGCAUCGCUUUUGGAUCACUUUGGUCAAGCAGUCCACCGGGAAGUGAAGAACGGAUAACCCAGCGGGCAGCGGCGAACAAAAAUGAGCAGCUGUGUCCACUUGUCCAGUACACGGGCACGCAGCUAGUAACUUAGCACCGAACCAACGUACUGCGCUUGGUGAUCGAUCGAUCUAUAUUCUGCUGUGUAGUAACUUAUCUGCAAGUAUGAACUACUGGAAAAUCUCAUCCUAUCAGUCGUUGAUUGUUGUAUCAUAUCAUAUGCAUGUGACGUGAUACGAUGUCGUGUGAGAUUAUUUAUGAAGAGCGUUUGGCGUUGCGUACAACGUCCACGUGAAGCCCCUCGCACGUACCAGUAGGCGGGCGCAUCCAGGUAAAACCGUGUCAUCAAUCAGUAUCAGACAAGCCAUCCAUGAUAUUCGAGACGGGGAUAGGGUAGUUGCACACAAAAAUGAAGGAGAGAAACAAAUAAAGGGGAAUCCCAUGGUUUCAGAUAAGAUCGGCCUGAAAGCGACCAUAUCUCCGUGGAUCUAAUUAGCUGUUAGCCGAGGAUCUAUUACACGUGCCCACUCAUAGUCGCUGGGCCGGAUUCAGUUGGUUUCGAUAUCUCUUUUCCCCAAGAACUUCCUGAUCCAUUCAUUGUUCUUGUUCGGACGAACAUGCACAACAAAAAGGAAAGAAACAGACUAACAGAGAACGAUGUCCUCUACAUAUUCGUGAUGGCCGAUAUGUAAGCCCCAAUGGCGAGGAAAUUCCAAUACCGAAUCCAUAAACACGGGCGGUGAAAACUGAUCGAAAGAGAAGUCGAAUCACUUAUGGGUUUGUACGGCGAGAGAAGGCAACAGCAAACGAAAAUUAGCUCGGUCGAUGCAACGAAGAAUUACAAGCUAGUACUACAGCACACAAGCAGACACAGACACCUCCAUCGAUCGAUCCCCAUUAUUUUUUCUACACCACCAAGCGAGUCUCCAAGGUCUCCAACAAUGAGACGACAUCCCGCCCGUCAGUCCAGCGUAAGCACAAACUGACCAUAUUAUAUACGGAGUAUAUCUCCGUCGAAGGUACCGCAGCUACGACGCAGCAUGCUCGAGCGAGCUAGCAGCAGCAGCCGCCGCCGCCGCCUCCGUUGUUGUCGCCGUUUCCUCCUCCCCAGCCACCGCCGUAGCCGUUUCCUCCUCCGCGGCGGCCGCCGCUGCCGCUGCCGCCGCCAGAGCUUGUGGAGGUCUUCUUGGUGUCUCCGGCGCCGGUCCAGUCGGAGAUGAUGGUCUUGAUGAUGUUGCCCCUCUUGGGGUUCCUGUUCCCGUCCGUCUUCUUCGUCUGUCCGUCGCCCUUCCCGUCCAUGCCGCCGAUCCCGAAACGCGCACCCUCGCACUCACGGAGAAGCUAGCACGCGAGCGCAGGCAAAGGGGAGUGAGUGUGUGACAGUGUGAGCUUGCCAGCUUUGGAUGGGAGAUAGCCUUAUUAUAGGCUUUGAUGGCCUCCUAGAAAGCACUAGAUUAUUCUAGCAAGGUAACUAGCCCCGAUCGAUGACGACUAGUCGACGAGAGGUUUUGCACCAGCACCCCCAGCCGCCAAGGCCGCUGAGCCGCAGCGGUACUCCAGUAGCAUUAUUCCAUAAUGCAAGGGGGUUUAUUAGCAAGUGCUGUUGUGGCCACUGAAACACUCCACUAUCUGAGGCUCGAGUCGUGCGUGCGUAUUGGAUAGGACGGGACAAGUGGAUCGAGUGUCUCGCCUCGGGCUUUCCGUCCCUCGGUUGAAUCAUC